rnacentral:rRNA from 1 species
CGGACACGCUGGCGGCGUGCCUAACACAUGCAAGUCGAACGGAGAUGAUGGGAUAGCUUGCUAUUUAAUCAUCUUAGUGGCGGACGGGUGAGUAACACGUGGGCAACCUGCCCCAAAGAGGGGGAUAACACCGAGAAAUCGGUGCUAAUACCGCAUAAUAUUAGAGCUUCGCAUGGAGCUUUAAUCAAAGGAGCAAUCUGCUUUGGGAUGGGCCCGCGUCUGAUUAGCUAGUUGGUGAGGUAACGGCUCACCAAGGCGACGAUCAGUAGCCGAUCUGAGAGGAUGACCGGCCACACUGGAACUGAGACACGGUCCAGACUCCUACGGGAGGCAGCAGUGGGGAAUAUUGCACAAUGGGGGAAACCCUGAUGCAGCAACGCCGCGUGGAGGAAGAAGGUCUUCGGAUUGUAAACUCCUGUCUUCUGGGACGAAUAAUGACGGUACCAGAGGAGGAAGCCACGGCUAACUACGUG